UACGAAGGGGGCUAGCGUUGUUCGGAAUUAUUGGGCGUAAAGAGCUCGUAGGCGGUUUGUCGCGUCUGCUGUGAAAACCCGAGGCUCAACCUCGGGCCUGCAGUGGGUACGGGCAGACUAGAGUGCGGUAGGGGAGAUUGGAAUUCCUGGUGUAGCGGUGGAAUGCGCAGAUAUCAGGAGGAACACCGGUGGCGAAGGCGGGUCUCUGGGCCGAUAUUGACGCUGAGGAGCGAAAGCGUGGGGAGCGAACAGG
rnacentral:rRNA from 1 species